rnacentral:rRNA from 1 species
ACUCAAAGGAAUUGACGGGGGCCCGCACAAGCGGUGGAGCAUGUGGUUUAAUUCGACGCAACGCGCAGAACCUUACCAGCCCUUGACAUGUCCAGGACCGGUCGCAGAGAUGUGACCUUCUCUUCGGAGCCUGGAGCACAGGUGCUGCAUGGCUGUCGUCAGCUCGUGUCGUGAGAUGUUGGGUUAAGUCCCGCAACGAGCGCAACCCCCGUCCUUAGUUGCUACCAUUUAGUUGAGCACUCUAAGGAGACUGCCGGUGAUAAGCCGCGAGGAAGGUGGGGAUGACGUCAAGUCCUCAUGGCCCUUACGGGCUGGGCUACACACGUGCUACAAUGGCGGUGACAAUGGGAUGCAAAGGCGCGAGCCCUAGCAAAUCUCAAAAAGCCGUCUCAGUUCGGAUUGGGCUCUGCAACUCGAGCCCAUGAAGUUGGAAUCGCUAGUAAUCGUGGAUCAGCAUGCCACGGUGAAUACGUUCCCGGGCCUUGUACACACCGCCCGU